GAUAAAUAUUGAUAUCAUUUACAACAUGGCGAUAUCUUGGGGGAAAUUGUGGUUUCUGUUCUGACAUUUUAAAUUUGGAAUCCUUAUUAGACUUAAAAUAGAGAUGACAAGUAGUUAAGUUGAGAACUCCAGAUGUAGAUGAGAGGUAGAGACGUAAAUUUGGGAUGGUAAUGUACGUAUGCUAAUCAAAGACAUGCGGCUCUGUGAGAUUAUACAGGACGGAAAGUAAGGCAGGCGAGAGAAGAGGACCCAGCGCUGAACCCUGACGUGGUUCGUUCACAGGUCAGGCAGCAGAGGCACAGCCAGAAAUCCAAACGGAAACAGUCGUUGAAAAAGGAGGGGGAAUAGGAGAGUACGUCUUUAAAAAACAGUAACAGCUUUCAUCUUGGGGGAAAUAUCAUGUACCAGGCACAUUUAAUACCAUUUAUCUGUUAGUAUUAACCCCUCAAUCCCCACAGCAGCCACAUGAUGUAGGUAAACACAGAAUCAGCAUCAAAAGAUAUUAAAGACAUAGAUUUUGCAACAUUGAAAGAGAAAUACAAGAUAAUUAUUUCAUUCAUAAAGAAUUUUACAGGGCUAGAAUGCAGUGGCGUAAUCUGAGGGCACCAUCUCUCGGCUCACAACAACCCCCUGCCUCCCAGGUUCAAGCAAUACCCCUGUCUCAGCCUCCCGGUUAGCUGGGAUUACUUCUUUUACCACACUUCAUUAUUGCUCUCAGUUCCUUCAGCCAUACAGAAGUUUGGUUUACCUGUCUUUUUCCUUUCAAACAUUUGUGAAGCCUUAGUAACCACAUUUGAUAUGAUUCUGGGAUGUGGGUUUGGUAUUUAGAAUUCAUACUUUUGUGAAAUGGAGAUUAAUAAAAACAGAGUAGUGACUACUCAAGCAAAACCAAGAGCUGCAGGAAUAAGCAAGUGCUGAUUGAAUAAAGUGAAUGGCUACAGUUAAAAUCUCUGAAACAUAUAAUAUAUGACAUUCGGUUAUUAUAUUUCCUGUAUAAUAACUCCUUAAUGUAGUCAUUUCUUUUUUUAUACCAAUGAUAUUAUAUAGUAACCUAUGCACACCUAUUUAAUUCACGAUUGCUUAUAUAAUUGUAAUAUUAUUACUUAUAUACUUAAUCUGUCACUGUUAUUCUUUUUUUUUUUUUUUUUGAGAUGGAUUCUCACUUUGUUGCCCAGGCAGGAGUGCAGAGGCGUGAUCUCAGCUCAUUGCAACCUCUGCCUCCCAGUGUCAAGUGAUUCUCCUGCCUCAGCCUCCCAAGUAGCUGGGAUUACAGGGGCACACUACCAUGCUGUCUGAUUUCGUAUUGUUAGUAGGGGGUUUCACCAUGUUGGCCAGGCUGGUCUCAAACUCCUGACCUCAGGUGAUCCACCCACCUUGGCCUCCCAAAGUGCUGAGAUUACAGGUGUAAGCCACCGCACCUGGCCUGUCACUGUUAUUGUUGAACACAACUGUCAGUCAAUACUCCUAGGCAUUUAUUUUUCUUUACUAUAUUAAGUACAAAAUGGUUUAUAAGUUGUUGGAUUUGCUGGAUUCUUUUACCACCAGAACCUAUUUCUUUGCAUAUUUAAAAUGAAAAAAUGCUCAUUUCUCUUCUGCAAACUAGUAAACUAGUAAGAAGCUGUACACACUAAAACUGUUUUGCAGAUUUCCUAAGUCAAGCAUAAGUAAACUUGAGUGCUACCCUUUUGUCUAUCUACAAUUUAGCUUGAAUAGAAAGCCACGUUAUGCCAAAUCAUCUGUAACACAAGAAGCUUGACACCAGCUGUUUGGAAAGUUGCACCACAUGACCAGAAUGAAGAAAAGCGGUAAGCUGGAUAUUGGAAGAGAGAAAAGGAGCAACUAAAAUGGUAAAAGGAUGUGCAAUGAAAGCCAAGGUGGGAGCUAAAAAUAACCUAGGUACAUUUGAGGACCAGAAAGAAGACCAGCCCCAGGAAGACAAAAUGCUGUUCUGAAAGGUGUAGAUGUUUGGGUUAACAUUGAAAAUUUGAGUUGAAAUAUACAAAAUUUUUUAUUUCAUAGAUCUUCAAGUCUUUUUUUGUGGUGCUGACUGAGAUAAACCAAACUAACUCCAUCUUAGAUGUAGACCUAACUGACUCCAUCUUAGCUUCUCCCCCCGCCAUGUCUCCCCCAGGUGCACAGCUAGGUCACACUGUGCAUCUCCAGGUCACGCUGUGCCCAGAAUCUUGCACCUGUUGUAACUGCAUCCUGCUUGGCCAAGUCCCUUGCUGAUUGUGAUCAACCCCCUUAGUAAUCAACAAUCAUGAGAACUUCCACCUCCCCUGGUUACCAGUUUCCUCCCCUAACUCACUUAUUCUGCUUCUGUAAAAUUCUGCUUUGCCCCCUUAAUAGAAAAGGAAAUCACACCCCUUCCUCGGGGCCCAGAGAUUUGAGCGUGAGCUGACUCUCAGACACUGGCAAUAAAGAACUCAUGAUUCGAACUCAGAAUGUGGUGCUUCCCAUUCAACUUGCUCAGUUAUAACACUGCCAACAAUGCAAAUGGAUAUUUAACUCAAAAUGAAAUACAGAGCUUUCUAGGAGAAGAGACACCAGAACAAGAACAACUGGAGCUAUUUGAUGCUGAUAACAACAAAUAUAUUCCUACCUGGAACUCAUAAGAGCAUUUGGACUGACUGAAUAUCUUAUGUAAUAUGAACAGAUUUACUGUACAUAUCUAGGAGCAGUUUCUUAACCAGUGAGGAAGAGCAAACACACUAGACCUGGCAUCUGAAAGCUGGUAGAUGAAGAGAACACACAACUAUAAAAUAAAAUUCCAUGUCACCUAAUGCUGAAUUUAUUUAUGAAUGGAAAACAAAAAAUAGUUACAUUUCUGUCAUUUGCCCCUGAUAUAAUAAAUGAUAGACAGCCCAGAGAUGUUCUGCACCUUGUCUUGAUAUGCACAAACAUGUGAGAUGGUGCCACCUACACUUUCAGUGGUAUACCCACAUUGUCAGAUAGGAAAUCCAUUUAUGUUGAAAUCCACAUCACUAAAACAUGUAUGACAUAAUACGGCCCAUAUGCCUAUAGAUGCCUAGAUAUUGCCAAAGUCUUGCACUUGCCAAAUUUCAUUGACAUUUUUGGGUCUUACAUUUAAGACCUUUCAAGGUCUUUGCUUGAUUUUUUAUCUUUCCCACCUUCUCUCUGAUGAAAUAAUAAUAAUAAAAAGAUGGAUGACCAUUCCAAAAUAUAGAUUGCAUAGUUGGAGGCCCCACUUAGCCAAUUUAGAUAAGCAUCUCCGGAACAUCACUGAAAUAUACCAAGUGGAAUAAAAAUACAUUUUGAAAAGUAUGAGAGGAAUUCUGAGGUAGUUUUUGAUCUGUAACCACUCACUGCUGCUUCCUUCCCAGAUUGUCCUGGCCUUUGCUAUCCACAACUUUGUUCAUUGUUAUAAGGAAGAUGAUUACUGCUGCGAUCCUAGCUUCAGAUACGUUUUUGAAUACCUGCCAUCUAUUUGUUUUGGGCUUUGCUUGUGCUCUAGCAGACAUCUGGCUGUAGUUCUAGCAUUUGUAACAUUGGGGAUAUGAGUGAUGUUAAGUGAAAUGUACAGAAUCAGAGACAACGCUCAUUUUCUGGUGCAAAGGGAUCCUGUUAGGAGCACCAAGAAUGAAUGUUUGAGGCAGGUGUCCACAGUGGAAAGCCAACAUCUCUAUUUGUACAAGGUAGUUGUCUAAAAAUUUUAACUGACCAAGUUGGGGAUAAGAAGGGACAUAUGUGGCUUGAUAGUUUAGAGACCAUUAAGUUAUGCCCCACAUGGUUCAUGCAGUGCCACAUCCAGAGCUUCACACAGUGCCCCGAGGGAGUGCAAUGCUCAUUCAGUGGUAGCCCUCCUCCCAGUACCCAUAAG